AUGAAACUAAUGAAAUCAUUCACAAAUUCACCACUUUUUCAAAACAAACCUUCACAAUAUUAUACACUUUAUACAAAAAGAAACUCUCUUAUUAAACACCGAACAUUCCAACCACACAAAUUCUCUUCCAAAAUUUCCAAACUUCGUUACAAACAUAAACUCAUCAUUCCAACAAUUUCAAAAAUCACCACCUGUAACAUUUCAAACCACAAACCUCACAGUAGCAUCAUAUUAUAA